AUUUCUCCAGCCCAAGAACCCCGACGUGAGCGAGUGACGUCACCGCGUCACAACAAUCCUCUGGGCGGAGGGGGCGGGGUCAAGGGCUCAGACACACAUGCGGCACGAUCAUGUAAACACUGGCCUAGACUGCCCGAAUAACUGCAAUGUAUUGGACACGAUUGUAUGGAAGCCCAUUUCUGUCAGAGGAAAUACAAAAUUUUUUAGCUGUGAUAACAAAAAUAUCCCCAUGAUUGAUUCCAGUGUCAUACACCUCGUGACAGAUGACCAGCUUACGAGUACCGGCCGUCCCCUGGGGACCAACUGGCUGUUUUUGUAUACGGAAGGAAAAAUAACCCAGCAGUCGCAAGUCAAAGCUCUUUGAGCGACUUGGAGGAAAGAAACAAAGAUGAUCAUGUGUCUCAGAGUGCUCAGAAGAAUCAGAGAAAAAAUUGAGAUGAGAUGGAUGAAUUUCAGAGAAGGGGAAUUUGUUCAGGUGCAGACGGGAGCCUCCCACUGAUUUUGACAUUGAUUUAACUGACUUCCAGCAGCAUUCAUUAGAUAGUAGUAUCACUCGGGGAACAUAUGAAAAGACAAAGUCACCUCUCUUACGUUUCUAUUCAACAACCAAGAAGAAAGACAUUGUCAGUGACCUACAUCUUGAGGAGGAGAAUAGUGAUGCCACUGCGCAGGUGAAAAGACACAAAAAGAGAAGUACCUUCCUGUAAAACCUGCACCUGACCUUCUGGAGCCAGCUGUUCUGGGCUUUGUGGAGAGCGACCUUGUGGACUGGUCUCAGCGAGUGGUCUUUGAAUCUUCUCCUUCACAUUUUGAAGGUGUUGACCGAGGAGAAUUGUUGGAGAUCAUGGAUAUUCACAACUGCCGGAGGCUUUCAGCAGCAUUGAGCAAAUCUUGAGAGAGCUUGCUCACUAAAAACUGAUUCAAGAGCUGCUUUGCUUUGCACCUAUUAGAUCACAGCUGAAAGGGACUGCAGCGGUCUAUGUAGAGCUACAACCAACAUCACGAAAGAUCAUGAGAUCGAUGACUUACCCCAGUACCCAGAACGCCACAGGACCAACUAAUUGUCAAGUAUGCAAGUGCAUACCUUAGAGAGUCAGGCUCCUUUUUUCCUUAGGUGUUGCACUGGAUCAGACUUGUUCACAGGAAAUAACUUCACUGUCAGCUUCACACAACUUCAGGGAUUUCAGAGGAGACCUGUUGCUCACAUGUGUCAGUUAUGACAACUGUAUACCCAGAUUUUCCACAUGAAAUGAAGCAAGUUUUAAAAAGCAGCAUGUGGGUGACGGACAUUGUCUAAGCUACAAAGAUUUUAGCCGACAACUGGACUGCGAUCAGAGGUUCGUGCUUUGUAGGUUUUCCAGAUGUUUUCCAGCUCCUUUGUUUACCUGACUAGGUGUCACAGCUUCAACAAUUUUCAGCUGCUUUUUGCCACUUUUGUUUUGUUGAACAUUGUUUUCAGUUUAAAUAUCCAUUUAAUAAUGACAGUGGUGCCCUAUCCUUCAGUUUUAACAGCAAUUGGCCCACAUAAUGUGCAUGUCUCACAGAACGUAGUACUGAACACAGGUUCACUGGUAUUUAUAUAAUUUGUAGUAAUAUAGUUGGUGCUUUCUGUUGACUAUGUAAUAGUAGUACAUUUCUGCAGCAAUGGUCACUUUAUAUGCACAUUAAUAUAUCAAUAUAAUGUAAUUUAUAUGCACACAAUUUAAUCACAUUUGAAAUGCUGGCACCUUUUAAAGGUUUGGAUUUUGUAACAUUUGUGUACCUCUGGUGCCACCUACAGGCCAAACGUCACGUCACUUUAUUUUUGUUGCCUUGUGUUGGCUAGAAAUAGCAAUGUUUUGUUCUCUAUUUUUCAUCAAGUGCUCUGUAUUUCAUAUUAUUCCAAUAGGUUUUACGACAUACGAUGAUAUGAUACCUUCACCACCAGCAUGGCUGUAGUUUUAUUACAUUUAAUGUUUGUCUUUCAAACUCAAAGCAAUGCUUAAUGAAAUAUUAAUUCACUGGUUUGCAUAGCACUGUAGCAGAAUAUGCCUUUGAAAUUAAUUCAAAUGAAUCUGUGUUGAUAUGUCUUGAAGGCCUCUGAAGCGUUUAUGACCUGUCCAACGUGUUCAUCUUCUCAGAACUCCUGAAUAUGUGGGGCGGCUUUAAACAAGAUUGAUUUUCUAAAACAUCUGUUCUUUGCUCUACAAAGUCAUCCAGAUGACUGAGUGUACAUGUUGGUGGAAGAGGUUUGAGCGGCUUUGUAGCCAGUCGGCGUUUUUACGACCCCUGCAAACGAUUCACCGUUUUAAAAACCCGUUCCCCACAUUAACUCGA